UGCCUAACCCCUCGCAUUUGCGAUGAUAUGGCACAAAACCAGUAACGAAUAGAGACCCCAUCUUAUAGGGCUAUCGUUACUGGUCCCUGCGGGAAACUGCAGGUGGAAGGCGAAAGUCUUC
rnacentral:sRNA from 1 species